UGUAACAAUUUUGUUGAUAGUAUUAUCAGACUUGUUGCAAGGUUGUUCCAACAAGUACGACACAGUCAUGAUAUAAAAAUAUUGUUACAACCUUGUGUCGUCAAUCUUGUAACAUCCUUGUUAUAUCAUGACUGCAUCAGACUUGUUAGAACAACCAUGUAACAAGUCUGAUAAUGCCACCAAGCUUGUUGCA